rnacentral:misc_RNA from 1 species
CCGCCGAAUUACAUCACCAUUUCAUGGCACGCGUUUGACGCAUUUGUUAAAAUUUUCGACUUUUCGUGACAGCACGUCAAUUUCGACAUUUGAUUGAUAAUUUUCUAAAGAUCCAUCAAAUUAGUUUGUUUGAAAGUUGGUUUGGGCGCUAAAUGUUAUUAUUUCGCUGUUUUAACUUUAAUACAAUGAUGUGAUUGUGAGGUGUCCAUUUUUGGUUGCGCGCUUGUAUCCCAUAAUGAGUGCUCUAAAGUGUGUGGUUGAAGGCUGCAAUUUAGAGUACGAUGUAGUCUGCAGCUUCUCCUUCUACAAUGCAAACAUAUCGACUGACAAUGAGGGCAAACGCCAGGACUGGAUUGAGGGUGCUAUGCACGAGGAGAGCGAGUGCCUCUGGAGGCAUGUCAGCCUCCAACUAUGCGGUUACCACUUCGAGUUGGACAACCAAGGACUUUGGAUCGAUUCGCCCAUGCUGCCUGAAUUGCUUACACAACAGGAAAAGAAUGCUCCCGUCAUUCAAUCGCCGAACGAUAAGAAAAGCGCUGUGAGGGGCCCGUCCUAUCAAGGCCUAUUCGAAAAGUUCAUAGGAGGAGUCCCAAAAGUGGCUGAAAUAAUCCGAAUGGAGCACAACUAUAGCGUAGAGCCGAUUAAAGAAAAAGUGGAAAGCGUGUCCAGACUGAAUGUCAGACAACUCGUCGAUACUUUAGGAUACCUAUCCAUGAAGAAUCUGCAGAGGAAACAGCUGUGGGUGGUGAAGGUGGAGACGGACAAGGCUGAAGCCUCCAUCACGCAGUCGGAGCAGGUGAUCACUAAGAUGCCCGACCCUAGGCAGAUUAUUGAGAUAAUCCCUCAAACGUCAACAUCAUCAGCAUCAGCUGAACCGCAGAACUCAGAAGUGCUUCAAAUCAUGGAUGACAGUUCUAUCGCAGACAACUUCAUAUACGAGAUCGCUGAAGAACAGGAAAUCACCAUGGAAGAGGUCAAGGAGAUACCGGCUACCAGCACCGAGAACCCUGAGUGGACUGUCAAUAUACUCCCGGAUGACACUAAACCAAAAUAUGCUUAUAUAAAACACUGUGCAACGGGCAAGAAAAAAAGGCAUUUCACCGCAGACAUGAACGAAAUAACCCUACAGGGAGACUUUGAAAAUUACUACAUACUACCCGAUGUUGAUCCUUCCGUAGGAGUAGAAAUUACUACAAGCUAUGAGCCUGAGAAUUAUAUCGUUGAAGAAUACCAGCAUUUGGUACUCGAUGAACGACCAAAGAAGAGGUCUAAAGAUGAUUCUGGAAGGAAAAAGAAGAAGCGGCUAUCUUCUAACCCGGCUGUAAAAGAGGAACCCGGGGAUUGGGUGAUUGAAAACAAUAUUGUCUAUGAACAGGACGAGGACUAUGAUGAUCCCAAAAAGGUUGCUUCGAGAGUUAGAAGAAAAAAUAAAAAAUAUCUAGGCUAUGAUUUUGUCACAUAAGGUUUUUUUUUGGACGGUCGGCAUUUGAUUUUGGGUUUUUAAGCCUUUUUUUAAGGUAGGUGGGAUUUUUUUGGAAAAAAAUACGAAAUGUAUGCACUGUAGUCUUAAAGGUGCGUUUUGAAUGCUGGCUGAAGACCGUACAAGCUGCGAUUGCAUGAAGUCGGCCGCAGCUGCACUACUGGUUUGUAUGUAUUUACAUGAAACCGUUUUGUAUCGAAGCGACCGAUUUCAUGCAGUCGGCAGCUAGCAUUCAAAACUCACCAUCAUAUUCAUGAAAUAACAUUCAAUGAUUAUAAGGUACAAUUCGUAAAAGCCUGCAAAGUCUUAAAUUCGACUCCUGGGUCUCGAUAAUGUUACUAGGAGCAUCGCUAAUUAACUUUGCAACUCUGAAGUUAGUCAUUUGUCGCCUUACGCAUGCGUAGUAAUGUUUUGCUCAUAUUUUUUGAUUAUUGUGAAGUCCUAACAUCGGUACGUUAAACUGUAGGUCCCGGCUGUCAUUGAACAACCUUGGCAGUCGUUACGGGUAGUCAGAAGCCAGUAAGUCUGACACCAGUCUAACCAAGGAGUAUUGGGUUGCCCGGGUAACUGGGUUGAGGAGGUCAGAUAGGCAGUUGUUUCUUGUAAAGCACUGGUACUCAGCUGCGUUCUGUUAGACUGGAAGCCGACCCCAACACAGUAGGGAUAAGGCU